ACCGAACUCUCUCACAAAAAAAAAAAAAAAAAACUAGAAAACCCUCUCACCAUGUCUGCAACUCUUCUACAUCUGAAUCUCUCAAACUAUGAAAUAACUCAUCAGAAAACCCUAAACUCUCGAACUCUUAAAACCCUAACUCUCAAACUCUUCAGAAAACCCUAACAAACUAUUCACCUCACAGAUCCCACCAAGGAUUAAUCUCUGGAACUCUCGAAUCUCACCAGAAAUUCACCUCACAGAUCUCACCAAGGGGUGAUAUGAAUGGUUAUGGAUAUGAAGUGCUGGUGGCGAUUGAAGCAACCUGGUGGUAGUGGUUGAAGGCUGUAGAGAUGUUGUCGUUGUUUAAUGAAGACAGAAGAGAUGUUAUCGGAUGGCUGCCAAUGUAAAGCUAAACCUGUAAAUGUUGAACAUUUGAAUGUAAAGCUGUUAACAGAGCUACAUAGCCUACAUUUUUCAGACAAAGUCGGGGCUAUAGCUCAGUUUGCUUGAAGAAGGUCAGAUUCACUCCAUUUCCUCUCCAAGAGGUACUAUUGCUCUUUCCCACAUUUUCAUGUGCUCUGAUGUCAUUAUGAUAUUUUGUAGAGGUACUAAAAAAGAUGUUAGUAGCCUAAUGAAUUUAUUGAACUACAAAAAUGGAGCUAGCGAUCUCAAAUAUUCACAAUGCAGUGGAUGAAAGCUGGGAUAUCCCAGAUUGUAUGCCAGAGUUGGACAAACUGUUGCAACAAUAUAUCCAGGAGGUUCAGUUCGCUGUGCAUAUGGAGGACAGGUUAAUUUGGACUUAAAGCAAUACAGGUGAAGGUACUACAAAGACAGCUUAUGAAUACUGCAGACCUGAAAAGCCAGCUGACAUUAACUUGUCGAAAUUGUAGGAUCCCAGAACGCCUCAGAGAAGAGCCUGGACUGGGUAGAAGUUGUUACAUAAUCCAGUGCCAUUUAGGGCUUUUUUUAUACUCUGGUUGAAUGUUGUAAAGGAUAUAGAGGUCUGGGGGCUGAUUUAGAUUUGUUAGUUUGUGUGUUGUCAGUUUUGCAUUGUGAUAUUGAAUUUCUUAAUGAAGAGUAGAAUGAGUUUGUUAGGUCUGUGGUAUCCUUAGAAUUUUUUGAAAGAGUUGGUAGAUUGGUAAAACUUCUCCUUAGAGUCUUUUAAAAGAGUUGAUAGAUUGGUUACUGUUUUUUUUUUCUUGAUUGUGAAAUUCCUAGAAAAGUUAAGUUGAAAAGGUUUUUGAGAUUCUGUCAAA